rnacentral:rRNA from 1 species
GCUUACGGCCAUAUCAGCCUGGGUACGCCCGAUCUCGUCUGAUCUCGGAAUCUAAGCAGGGUCGGGCCUGGUUAGUACUUGGAUGGGAGACCGCCUGGGAAUACCAGGUGCUGUAAGCA